AUAAAGACCUGUAUGAACGGCUAAAUGAGGACAAACCUGUCUCUUAUAACCAAUCAGUGAAACUGAUCUCCCAAUACAAAAGUUGGGAUAUACACAUAAGACGAGAAGACCCCGUGGAGCUUAAAACAAAUUACCAAUCUAAACGACCCUGGUAUGCUGUUUUGAGUUGGGGCGACUUCGGAACAAAACAAAACUUCCGAGCACAGAACCACCACUUCUAACUAAGGCCAACAAGCCUAAGUUUAACCUGACCCGGCCUCGCGCCGAUCAACGAACCAAGUUACCCCGGGGAUAACAGCGCUAUCUUCUUCAAGAGUCCCUAUCAACAAGAAGGUUUACGACCUCGAUGUUGGAUCAGGACACCCUAAUGGUGCAGCCGCUAUUAACGGUUCGUUUGUUCAACGAUUAACAGUCCU
rnacentral:rRNA from 1 species